rnacentral:tRNA from 1 species
AGUCCCUACAGCGCAAUGGAUAGUGCGUUGGACUUCUAAUCCAAAGGUGGUGGAUUCAAUUCCACCAGGGAUGA